rnacentral:piRNA from 1 species
CCUGGAAGAAGAGGACUGCUUAGCCUGC